rnacentral:tRNA from 1 species
AAGUUUGUGCCUAAAGUAACAGGAAUUUGGCCGAUAACCAAAUAUUUGGGGGUUAAAUUCCCCCCAAACUUC